rnacentral:lncRNA from 1 species
CGCCAGAUUCCUGUAAUUCACAGCCUUGGGAUCAUAAUUCUUCUCCUCUCCUCCUGACAUUUAAGGAAAUCCUGAAGACUAUUCUGACCACAGCACCCUGUGUAGCAUUUUGGCUGGGAAAUGUGACGUUAACAUAGGGGCAAUUGGAUUUCACAGCUUUUGAGUUUAAAACUUCUGGAUUGUAAAGGAUGGGGAGAAGGGCCCAUUAGUCAUUGAUGACAAGUUGUGGAGACUACUGGGGAGGAAAAGUCUUGAAGACCUUUGGAACAUUCUGGAUUUGAUCUACUGUCUUAAACCUACUUAUGGCAUCUAUCAUCUUUGCCUCCAUAAGCCUUUUGUGUGAAAUAUCUUGUAUUAGAAGAGUUUUCUCAAACAUGUAAUCCCUGGGCCAGUACCAUCAGCACCACCCAGAUCUACUAUUUAAACAACCCUCCAGGUGAUUCUGAUGUAUGUCAAAGUUUUAGAACAUAUUAGCUGAAGAAACACCGAGCUGGUAGUGCAGACCUGGAAUUUUGGCUCUGCCUCUUGUAUUAAAAGCCUAUGUGACUCA